AGCGAACGCUGGCGGCAGGCUUAACACAUGCAAGUCGAGCGCCCCGCAAGGGGAGCGGCAGACGGGAGAGUAACACGUGGGAACAUACCUUUUGGUUCGGAACAACUGAGGGAAACUUCAGCUAAUACCGGAUAAGCCCUUACGGGGAAAGAUUUAUCGCCGAAAGAUUGGCCCGCGUCUGAUUAGCUAGUUGGUGAGGUAACGGCUCACCAAGGCGACGAUCAGUAGCUGGUCUGAGAGGAUGAUCAGCCUCACUGGGACUGAGACACGGCCCAGACUCCUACGGGAGGCAGCAGUGGGUAAUAUUGGACAAUGGGGGCAACCCUGAUCCAGCCAUGCCGCGUGAGUGAUGAAGGCCUUAGGGUUGUAAAGCUCUUUUGCCCGGGAAGAUAAUGACGGUACCGGGAGAAUAAGCCCCGGCUAACUUCGUG
rnacentral:rRNA from 1 species